rnacentral:rRNA from 1 species
CCUACGGGAGGCAGCAGUAGGGAAUCUUCCACAAUGGGCGAAAGCCUGAUCGAGCAACGCCGCGUGGGUGAAGAAGGUCUUCGGAUCGUAAAACCCUGUUGUUAGAGAAGAAAGUGCGUGCGAGUAACUGUUCACGUUUCGACGGUAUCUAACCAGAAAGCCACGGCUAACUACGUGCCAGCAGCCGCGGUAAUACGUAGGUGGCAAGCGUUAUCCGGAUUUAUUGGGCGUAAAGGGAACGCAGGCGGUCUUUUAAGUCUGAUGUGAAAGCCUUCGGCUUAACCGGAGUAGUGCAUUGGAAACUGGGAGACUUGAGUGCAGAAGAGGAGAGUGGAACUCGAUGUGUAGCGGUGAAAUGUGUAGAUAUAAGGAAGAACACCAGUGGCGAAAGCGGCUUUCUGGUCUGUAACUGACGCUGAGGUGCGAAAGCGUGGGUAGCAAACAGGAUUAGAUACCCUUGUAGUC